UUUAAUAAUUGACUUAGUAUUUAUGGUUCAGUGGUUCGCUUAAAUUGAAUAAAUAAGAUUUUUGUGAAUGUAAUAAAGAACUUAUGGUUUUCUUUUGAGAUGAAAACUGUUUUGUACCUCUUGUGGUAGCGUGUUUUAAAAGAAAAAGGUUUUCGUAUAGAAAACGAUUUUAAAAAGGCUUUUUCUUAGUUUUCAUACUUCUUAGUGUUUCAAUAUGAGUUUCCGGAUAGGAAACGUUUUAAACUAAUAGAUGUGAAUUUAUAUCUAUCUGUGAUAGAAAAAAGUGAAAUUUGUGAUGUGGUUUAUGUAUGCAGAUGUUCAUACAGUUGUGGUUGUAUAUUGCACUUGUGCGACGCUGUACAAAUAUAGGUGAGACUCUGUCCGUGUGAACAGUGGACUCCUAUAUUUGUGGCGAAUCUGGCAUACCCCGAGGUCAAGGUUUUUUUUUUUUAAAAAAAAAAUUGAGCACUUCCGCAUUAGCUUUUAAUUUCAAAAGAAAAAGAGACCCCG
rnacentral:lncRNA from 1 species